GGAAAACUCACCAGGUCCAGACAUAGUAAGGAUUGACAGAUUGAUAGAUCUUUCUUGAUUCUAUGGGUGGUGGUGCAUGGCCGUUCUUAGUUGGUGGAGUGAUUUGUCUGCUUAAUUGCGUUAACGAACGAGACCUUCACGUACUAAAUAGAGUCACGAAUCUUCGGAUUUGUAGAUUCCUUCUUAGACGGACUAUCGCUAUUUAAGGCGAUGGAAGCAGGAGGCAAUAA
rnacentral:rRNA from 1 species